UUGCUGAAGGUGAAGCCGGAGGCCUUGCAGCGGAGGGUGAGGGACCCCCCGGGUGUCACGGUGCCCCCUCCGGACUCCGUCAGCUCCACGGCCGCCCGCAGCCCUGGGGAGGGAGAGAGGAAGGAGACAAUUGAGUCACCCCCAAGGUCCCCCCAUGGCUCGUCCUCCAUCUCCGCGGGCGGGCGGCCAGGAGGAGGAGGAUGGAGAAGGGGUCAGAUCCAUCAGAACAGAAGGAAGUCCCUCACCCUCCGCUGCAAGGCCUCCAGCUUCACCUUCAGCAACUUCCAAAUGGAAUGGGUGCGACAGGCACCUGAAAAGGGGCUGGAGUGGGUCGCAGCUAUUAGCAACAGUGGUGGUAGCACCUGGUACGCGCCGUCGGUGAAGGGUCGCUUCACCAUCUCCAGGGACAACUCCCAGAGCACGGUCACGCUGCAGAUGAAGGACCUCAAGGAGGACGACACGGCCACCUACUACUGCACCAAAGCUGCUGGUGGUAGUGCUUGGGCUGAUGGUGGCCCCGACCCCAUCACCGUGUCCCCACAUCCCACCAUCUCCCCCAGUCCCUUCCCACACUGA